GAGCACUAAUAACAUAUUCUUCAAUGGCCACCACAAAAUUCUUGCUUCAAUCAAUUUUGCUGCUUUGUUUGAUUUUGCUUUCUCUGUUGGCUCUUCAUCAUUGUGAUGAAAGUAUAAGAGCCAAAUCAAAACUUGCAGCCCAUACAUGCAUCCCACUUGUGGAUCUAGGAGUAGCACCCAAAUGGUGUUGCACUGGUGAAAAGGACAAAUGCUAUGCUUCUUCCCAAGAGUGUUUUGCCAAUUGUCCCUAAUGAUAAAUUUUCAAGAAUUAUAUUGUUUGUCAAUUCUAGAAAUAAGUUAUGAUUUUAUUCAAUCGGUAUUCAUGAAUUUCAUGUUGCUAGUUGAUUAAGACGAUGUAUUAUUCAAAUAAAAGAACUUGAUAAUCAUUAAUAAAGUUCAGUUUGAGUUA